rnacentral:rRNA from 1 species
GACGAACGCUGGCGGCGUGCUUAACACAUGCAAGUCGAACGGAAAGGCCCUGCUUUUGUGGGGUGCUCGAGUGGCGAACGGGUGAGUAACACGUGAGUAACCUGCCCUUGACUUUGGGAUAACUUCAGGAAACUGGGGCUAAUACCGGAUAGGAGCUCCUGCUGCAUGGUGGGGGUUGGAAAGUUUCGGCGGUUGGGGAUGGACUCGCGGCUUAUCAGCUUGUUGGUGGGGUAGUGGCUUACCAAGGCUUUGACGGGUAGCCGGCCUGAGAGGGUGACCGGCCACAUUGGGACUGAGAUCCGGCCCAGACUCCUCCGGGAGGCAGCAGUGGGAAUAUUGCACAAUGGGCGGAAGCCUGAUGCAGCAACGCCGCGUGCGGGAUGACGGCCUUCGGGUUGUAAACCGCUUUCGCCUGUGACGAAGCGUGAGUGACGGUAAUGGGUAAAGAAGCACCGGCUAACUACGUG